ensembl:lncRNA
CUUUUUCUUGCCACUGUAGAUAAUUAUAUACUAUAGAUAGAUAGAUAGAUAGAUAGAUAGAUAGAUAGAUAGAUAGAUAGAUAGAUAGAUAGAUAGAUAGAUAGAUAGAUAGAUAGAUAGAUAGAUAGAUAGAUAGAUAGAUAGAUACAGUUGAAGUCCGAACUUUACAUACACCUUAGCCAAAUACAUUUAAACUCAGUUUUUCACAAUUCCUGACAUUAAAUUAUCGUAAAAAAUCCCUGUUUUCGGUCAGUUAGGAUCACCACUUUAUUUUAAGAAUGCGAAAUGUCAGAAUAAUAGUAGAGUGAUUUUAUUUAAGCUUUUAUGUAGCAUUAAGAUUUGCCUUUACUGGAAUUUAGGGGGGACUCACCCGAACCAUGAAACUGCCCCAGAUCGUUAUUCCUCCUCCACCAAACAUUACAGUUGGCACUAUGCAUUGGGUCAGGUAGCGUUCUCCUGGCAUACGCAAAACCCAGAUUCAUUCGUUGGACUGCCGGAUGGUGAAGCGUGACCCAUCACUCCAGAUAACGCGUUUCCACUGAGAGUCCAAUGGCUGUGAGCUUUCCACCACUCCAGCCGAUGCUUGGCAUUGCGCAUGGUGAUCUUAGGCUUGUGUGCAGCUACUCUGCCAUGGAAACCCAUUUCAUGAAGCUCCCAACAAACAGUUUUUGUGCUGACAUUGCUUCCAGAGGCAGUUUGGAACUUGGUAGUGAGUGUUGCAACCGAGAACAUACCAUUUUUACGCACUAUACGCUACAGCACCUGGCGGUUGCCUAGACGUUUCCACUUCACAAUAACAGUACUUAUAGUUGACCGGGGCAGCUCUAGCAGGGCAGAAAUAUGAUGAACUGACUGGUUGGAAAGGUGGCAUCCUAUGACGGUGCCAUGUUGAAAGUCACUGAGCUCUUCAGUAAGACCAUUCUACUGCCAGUGUUUGUCUAUGGAGAUUGUAUGGCUGUGUGCUCGAUUUUAUACACCUGUCAGCAACAGGUGUGGCCUACGUAGCCGGAUCUACUAAUUUGAAGGGGUGUCC